AGUUCGAUCAUGGCUCAGAUUGUCCGCUUAUGGGAUGCUUUACACAUGCAAGUCGAACGGCAGCACGGACUUCGGUCUGGUGGCGAGUGGCGAACGGGUGAGUAAUGUAUCGGAACGUGCCUAGUAGCGGGGGAUAACUACGCGAAAGCGUAGCCAAUACCGCAUACGCCCUUCGGGGAAAGCGGGGGACCUUCGGGCCUCGCACUAUUAGAGCGGCCGAUAUCGGAUUAGCUAGUUGGUGGGGUAACGGCUCACCAAGGCGACGAUCCGUAGCUGGUUUGAGGACGACCAGCCACACUGGGACUGGAGACACGGCCCAGACUCCUACGGGAGGCAGCAGUGGGGAAUUUGGACAAUGGGGGAAACCCUGAUCCAGCCAUCCCGCGUGUGUGAUGAAGGCCUUCGCUGUGUGUAAAGCACUUUUGGCAGGAAAGAAACGGCACGGGAUAAUACCCCGUGCAACUGACGGUACCUGCAGAAUAAGCACCGGCUAACUACGUGCCAGCAGCCGCGGUAAUACGUAGGGUAAGCGUUAAUCGGAAUUACUGGGCGUGCAAAGCGUGCGCAGGCGGUUCGAAAGAAAGAUGUGAAACUUGUUUAACUUUUGGAACUGCAUUUUUAACUACCGAGCUAGAGUGUGUCAGAGGGAGGUGGAAUUCCGCGUGUAGCAGUGAAAUGCGUAGAUAUGCGGAGGAAUAAUUGAUGGCGAAGGCAGCCUCCUGGGAUAACACUGACGCUCAUGCACGAAAGCGUGGGGAGCAAACAGGAUUAGAUACCCCAGAACUUACGCCCUAAACGAUGUCAACUAGCUGUUGGGGCCUUCGCCUUGGUAGCGCAGCUAACGCGUGAAGUUGACCGCCUGGGGAGUACGGUCGCAAGAUUAAAACUCAAAGAAUUGACGGGACCGCACAAGCGGUGGAUGAUGUGGAUUAAUUCGAUGCAACGCGAAAACCUUACCUACCCUUGACAUGUCUGGAAUCCCGAAGAGAUUUGGGAGUGCUCGCAAGAGAACCGGAACACAGGUGCUGCAUGGCUGUCGUCAGCCGCCGUGAGAUGUUGGGUUAAGUCCCAACGAAAGCAACCCUUGUCAUUAGUUGCUACGAAAGGGCACUCUAAUGAGACUGCCGGUGACAAACCGGAGGAAGGUGGGGAUGACGUCAAGUCCUCAUGGCCCUUAUGGGUAGGGCUUCACACGUCAUACAAUGGUCGGGACAGAGGGUCGCCAACCCGCGAGGGGAGCCAAUCCCAGAAACCCGAUCGUAGUCCGGAUCGCAGUCUGCAACUCGACUGCGUGAAGUCGGAAUCGCUAGUAAUCGGGUGAUCAGCAUGUCGCGGUGAAUACGUUCCCGGGUCUUGUACACACCGCCCGUCACACCAUGGGAGUGGGUUUUACCAGAAGUAGUUAGCCUAACCGUAAGGAGGGCGAUUACCACGGUAGGAUUCAUGACUGGGGUGAAGUCGUAACAAGGUA
rnacentral:rRNA from 1 species